rnacentral:tRNA from 1 species
GCCGUUAUAGCUCAGUGGUAGAGCACUCCAUUGGUAAUGGGGAGGCCUCGAGUUCAAUCCUCGAUAACGGCUCCA